AAGCAGUACAUAGGGUUUAGUGGACAACUGGAGGUUGGGGGGUGGGUGAAUGAAAGAGAAUGAAGAGUCAAAAUGACUCCAUAAUUUCUGGCUUGGGUAUCUAAAAACUGGUGCAGUCAUUAACCUGGAAGAACAGUAGAAGAGCAGAUGAGAUGAGAAGGAUGAUAGUGAGCGUAGGGUAAGGUGGUUUUUAUAGGAAAAGACACAAUGAUCACAAAUUUACCAAAUGACCACUGCAUGCUAUGUUGGUUGCCAGGGAAGAUGCAAAUCUGCACAGCCCAUGAUUCUUGACCUGAGGGAGCUUGGAAAAAUUUUGAAUGUGAAAGCAGCAUGACAAUACAAAGGUUACAGAAGAAAGAAUUGAUGUUUUUACAUGCAAUAAGUUUAAGUGUGGAGAUAAGAACAGCCUCCUGUCACAAGCUUAAGCUUUGGAGGAAGAAAGUGGUGGCGUAAAUAGGAAUGAUGCACCCAACACUCUUUCCUUUUGUGGAAAACCACUGACUUCAUCUUGAAGUUUGAACAGCCCCUAAGAUGAAGAAUCAGAAGCUUAAACUAUCCAGUUCUUUGUGCUAAGAGAAUUUGGUCCUCUUUGCUGAAAAGGAACUCCAAAUUUUUGAGUCCUCAAUGAAGCCUGUUUAGCAGAAGACUUAAAUGGCACUUGUUGUUCAUUCUCUUCGAUGGAACUGAUACAAGUAAAGAGAAGAUUCAGUCUUGCUCUCAAGAGAAUUAAGAUCUUGUUGUGAACCACCAUAUUGACUAAAAAUAUGGAAAACUUCAAAUUAAUAUGAUGAAAUCCAACAUAUGAGUGCUGGAUAUGUGAACCAAGGGCAGCCAGCAGUGCCUGAGGAAUGUCACAUAUAUCCCACCUUGGAGGAUGGGUAUGGUGAGGUGUUGGCUUGUGCUUUGCCCUCAGCUUUCCUUCUCCUUCCUCAAGUACACUAUCUCCUGGCCUGAUGGUGGCUGUUUGCUCUUACAUUCUUUCACAAGAUGGCCAGGGGCUGCAAUGACUUUUCUUACGUCAGGAAAGCUAUGUCUUUCUGUCUUUAUCCGGAGAGUACUCUUUCUGCUUACACUGUGUCUGAUUUAAUGCUUACAAUAGUCCUGAGAUAGAUGGCAUGAUGCCUAAUGGGGAGGUCUCUUGAUCAGACGGGGGUUCCAAAAUGUGGGAUGACUAUCAUGUGGAAGCCCAUGGUGCAAGAGGUGGAAGAAUUCACCUGAGGCCAAAAAAAGGAGAUUGAAAUUUAUUGAAUAUGCCACAAGGGAGCUGCUGGCAGGGACAGCAGAGGAGUGGCUGUCUGCAAGGAGGUAGCAAGUGGGGACUGUAUUUAAAGGGGAAAGAUGAGGAGGUAUGACGACCUAUGGAAUUCUUCCUUUUUUUGGUAACUGUGCCUGAUUGUAAGUAGCUCAUUGGUCAGUUAGGGCCUUAUGGAUAUUUUGAGGUGGGUUACCUCACGGGCCUGUCUAUAAUCUAUUGCUUAAGUCUCUUUGCCUAAAAGUGGCCUCUAUAGAUGGGAUUGUCUCAAAUCAAAGAUGAAGGAACUCAACCCAUGGAAGAUUAUCAAGAUUAAGGAAGUGGAGAAAUAGACAUGGAUCCAGAAUUGAAACCAGAUAGUCAGGUUUUAAUGUCCAGUUCAUUUCAUUAUUCCAUGAGACUUUUAAAAACUAUUUUUUUAACAACUUCUUUUCAAUAAUCUAACCAUACUGAGAUAGGGAAACUGAAGGACUUCAUAAAAAUCUGAUUUUUUCUCCUUUCCUCCUUCUAUUCUUGCUAGAACCUGCACCCCCACUUUACACAUGCCCCAUAAUGCACAUAGCCUAAAUCCUUAUAAGUGACAAGAAGAUAGUGAUCUCUUUAGAAUAGAUAACAUUUAAGGAAGAACCAAGUGAGAAUGACCAGACAAAGCCAUCAUAUGCUCAUUCCAGAUUGCUGGAGCUAGACAUCUUGAUCCUAAAAUCCACUGGCUCCAAGGAAUGAUUGACUUAUGAAGGAUACCUGGGCACUCAUUUUUGUUCUAACCAGUUCCUGGAUGCCUGAGAGGACACAUACAUCAGAUGAUAAUCCUCAAUAAAAACCCAAGACCUUAAGCAAAGACCAGACUCUCUCUCCUUUCCUUUCUGAGUCUCUUGGACACUCUGUAUCUUUGCACUCUUUAUACCUUCAAUAAAAUCUGCUCCCAUCUCCUACUGGCUUAUGUUUGAUUUUUAUCCUGCAUGUAGUCAGGGAACCUCUCAGGUGGACCUGUGGGACCACUCUCUGGGUCCUCUGACCCAGCCUGCCUACAUCAGUAAUCCAGCAAUUCCACUUCUGGAUAUUUUCCUGAAGGAAACAAAAACACUAGCUUAAAAAGAUACCUGCAACCCUCAUGCCCAUUGAAUCAUUAUUUACAAUAACCAAGACAUGGAAGAAACCCUAAAUGUCCAAUCAUGCUUUGUGAAGUAAGUCAGACAGAGAAAGACAAGUACCUCCAUGCAGGGAGCCUGAUGUGGGACUCGAUCCCGUGACUCCAGGAUCAUGCCCUGGGCCAAAGGCAGGUGCUCAACUGCUAAGCCACCCAGGCAUCCCAUAAGGGAAAAAAAAUGUAACUAUGAAUGGUAAUAGAUGUUAAAUAGACUUACUCUGAUGAUCAUUUUGCAAUAUAUAUAAAUAUCAAAUCAUUACAUUGUAUGUACACCUAAAACUAACAUAAUGUUAUAUGGGGGAUAUAUUUAAAUUUAAAAAAAGAAAAACAAAAUACAUUCCCCAUUUGGUCAAAUUAUAGUGUUGUAUAUAAGCUAUAAACUUUGUAGAUGUCCUUAUCAUAUUAUUCUCUAAUCUAUGUGGUUUUCCACUUUGAGGCAUUUAUGGCAGCCCUCAGAGGUGUAGGAGCACCUGCCACAGAGAUGUUAGAACAUUUCACACUUGGGAAGUUCCACUUCUUUCACAGAAGUGUAGGUCGGCUUGUCCUGGAGAUUGGUUUUGGAAUGUUUUGUGGUGGUUUUUUUGUUUUUCUGUUUUUGAUGAGAACAGGGUCAAACACCAAAGAUAUUAAGCUUUGUUCAUUAUUAACCAAAAGCUGGAACUCAGGUCUCUUCACUCAAACUUUAUAGAGGACAUAUUAUUUCCUCCUAUAUCUCUGUCGUUUCCUCAUGAGGAAUAGCUUCUUUUUGAGAGUACGUUUUUCAUAUAACCUGUGCUAAUAAUGGUAACCCAAUUGAUCUUUCUCAUUCUCACCGAUUCUAGCUGACAUUGCUGAUGAAUUUAGCAUUUAAUUAUGAACUCUCUCUUAUAUUUCAUAGAUUUUCAUAUUUUCUUAUUUUCCACCUGUUAUACAUUUUUUAAAGCAUAGUUUUGAUGUGGGAAUGUUAGGGAUAGAUGGGGCUAGUCAGGGAAAGAUAAGGGAAAGGCCCAGAGUUGGGCUCCCAUAAAUCUCUGGGCUCCCAUAAAUCCCAAAGACAACAUAGUCCUGACUCAGGCACCUACCCAUCCCAAGGAAACAGAGAUAUGAUAGUAAAAACAGAAAAGAAAAUAUAUUAGUCUCCCUAGCUCUGGGGUGUUAGGGAGUAUCUCCCUUUGAUGGUUACCAGAAAAUCCCAGAGAUUCACCAGACCUCAAAAGAGUCAUAUGUCAAUCACUUGAGACAGCACAAAGGAAUCUCAAGGCCUUGGGUUCCCUGGUUAGGUUCCCAAUUAAAGAUCAGUCAAAAAAAGCCCUCAGUGGCAACCCUGUUGGGGCCCCUCUCACUUCUGAGAGCUUUUUCUGUACUCAAUAAACUUCUAUCACUUUACUCACUCUCCCAUGUCUGCGAGAUUCAUUCUUUGACUCCUUGAGACAAGAACAAAGCUCUCCUGUAUCAGUUUCCUGAUUUUUGACAACUACGUAUACUCUAAUCAAGCUAAUGUAUACACUACAAAAUCAAGAUAUUUAACACCCUGAAAAAUUUCCUGUGCUCUUUACCUCAUUCCCCUACCUCCUUUUAUAAGCAAGCACUAAUCUGCUUUUUAUCACUGUAAAUUAGUUUGCAUCCUUAAUAAAGACAAUAUGAAUAUACACUCUUUUUAAAAAUACAACUUCUUUAACUCAGCAUAAUGUUUUGAGAUUUAUCCUGCUGCAUGCAUCAAUAGUUUGUUUCUUUUACUAAUAGGUAGUGUUCUGUUGUAUGGAUGUACCACAUUUUGUUUAUCCACUAAUUUGCUGAUGGAUAUUGGGUUGUUUUUAUUAUUAAAAAUCAGAUUGCUGUGAAUAUUUAUGUACAUGCCUUUUUGUGGGCAUAGGUAUUUAUUCCUAUUGGGUAAAUACCUGAGAGUGAAAUGACUGAGUUGUACAGUAGGUGUAUAUUUAACAUUUUAAGAAACUGCCAGUUUUCUGGUCACUACCAUAUUGCACUCCCAUGGGCAGUUCAUGAAAGUUGCUCCACAUUCAUGCAUUUGUUGUUUGUCUUAUCAAUUUUGGCUAUUCUACUGGUGAGUAUUCCUACUCAUUAUCAUUUUACUUUACAUUUCCCUGAUGGCUAAUGGUGUUAAGCAUUUUUUCUUGUGCUUAUUGGCUGUUUAUGUGUCUUUAGUGAAGUGUCUGUUCAAAUCUUUUGCCUAUUUGUUUAUUGGAUUGUUUAUUUUCUUAUUGAAACUUCUUUAUAGAUUCUAACUGUAAGUCCUUGAUUAUAAAUGUGUUUUGCAAACA